UACGGAGGGGGCUAGCGCUGUUCGGAAUUACUGGGCGUAAAGCGUACGUAGGCGGAUCUGUAAGUAGGGGGUGAAAUCCCCAGGCUCAACCUGGGAACUGCCUUCUAGACUGCAAGUCUCGAGAUCAGGAGAGGCGAGUGGAAUUCCGAGUGUAGAGGUGAAAUUCGUAGAUAUUCGGAGGAACACCAGUGGCGAAGGCGACUCGCUGGACUGAUACUGACGCUGAGGUACGAAAGAGUGGGGAGCAAACAGG
rnacentral:rRNA from 1 species